AUGAAGUCACAGAUCCAGGUCCUCCUAUCCCUGCUGCUUUGGGUGUCUGGUUCCUGUGCAGAUAUCAUGAUGACCCAGUCUCCAUCCUCCCUGGCUGUGUCAGCUGGAGAGAAAGUCACCAUCAGCUGCAGGUCCAGUCAGAGUCUUUAUUACAGUGUCAACCAAAAGAACUACUUGUCCUGGUACCAGCAGAAACCAGGGCAAUCCCCUAAGCCACUGAUCUACCAUACAACCACUCGGCACACUGGGGUCCCUGAUCGCUUCACAGGCAGUGGAUCUGGGACAGAUUUCACUCUCAGCACCAGCAGUGUGCAGGCUGAAGACCUGGCAGGUUACUACUGUCAGCAGGUUACAGCUAUCCUCCCGCAGUGCGUCAGCCUCCAACACAAACCUCCUUGA